rnacentral:lncRNA from 1 species
UUUACUCUGAAGUGGAUGGGAAGCCACUGGCGGGAUCUGAGCAGAGAAGACAUGGGUCCCCUGCCCUCCAGCGAGCCUAGUUGAGCCCCAGCUGGACUCCAAGUCGAGCCUCUGCAGCCAGGUGUCCGCCAGAUGUCUUCCACGGCCAGCAAGGGAACCGCCUGGGCACGCGUCAGUCUGGCCUGUUUCCUGAUCCAGAAAAUUAUUUUCAGCUGCGCGUGACCUUCCACGGGGCCAGGACCGGAAAACUAGACAGCAGUGAUCUUUUUAAAACCGUGGACUCUAUGAACUAGGAAAGUCCCCUCCAAACUCGUCAACAGGAAUUCACUGCUUAUUGGUACCAGUUUGGGAAAUCAUUGUUUUUUAAUUAAAAAUCAGGGGGCUGGGAGGAAAGGAGGGUCCCCUGGCAGUCUUGGGUGGGCUGCAGGGCUGCAGGAACGUGACAGCAGGGGCAGUGGGGCUGUGGGAGGGUGCUCUGCCCGUGGGGCCAGCUUGUGAUGGGCUGGGGACUGAGCUGUGCUCUGGGGACACACAGAGAUUCCUCACUCAGCUGGGUGGCCUUAUGUUCCCAGGGUUUUCCCACAACUUGUCCUGGCUGGGGGGCUGAGCUUGCCAGCCUUCCUGGGGAACAGCGGGCCAGGGCAGGACUCCAUCCCCAGGAAGCACAGGUGAGGCUUACAAAACAGGUGCAGGACUUGCAGACGCAGCUCUCCUUUCAGCAAACCCUGCUGAGACGCAGAGCGGAGAAAACAGGAGGUGCCCCAGUUUCUUCUCCCGGGUAAGACUGAGAGCUGUCCUUGAACCUGAUCGGCCAGAGAGAGUGCUGAGGAGAACCAGAGCAUCCCGUGGGGCUCCCUGGGCUGGGCUCUGCCAGCUCCUGAUGGUUGUACCCUCUCCUGUGCUGAGGGCAGCAGAGACUCAUUAGCGAACUGGGGGCCCUGGAGUCGGAGAGCUGGCUUCCAAUUCCGGCUCUAGUACCCGCGCUCAGGGACACUGGGCAUGUGUUGUCACCUGCCUGUGCCUCAAUCUCCUUAACUGCAAAAUGGACAUAACCUCCAGGCUGAUGAAGACUAGGAGAGCAGAGGUCAGGGAUGGGCCCCUUCAUAGGGGCUCAGGGCCUUUCUGUUCCUCCAUUGCUUUCUCCGGCCUGGCCCGCUGUGUGAGGCUGGCCGGCAGACAUCUGUCUCUCUCUCAAUUUUAAAAAAUUUUUUUAGUAGGGACAGGAUCUCACUGUGUUGCCCAGGCUGAUCUCA